rnacentral:rRNA from 1 species
GACGAACGCUGGCGGCGUGCUUAACACAUGCAAGUCGAACGGUGAAGCGCUUGCCUUUUUGGUGGGUGUGGAUGAGUGGCGAACGGGUGAGUAACACGUGAGUAACCUGCCCUCUUCUUCUGGAUAACCUCAUGAAAGUGGGGCUAAUACGGGGUAUUCCGGGUCUGUCGCAUGGCGGGUUUGGGAAAGAUUGCGCCUUUGGGUGUUUUCGGUGGGGGAUGGGCUCGCGGCCUAUCAGCUUGUUGGUGGGGGGAUGGCCUACCAAGGCGGUGACGGGUAGCCGGCCUGCGAGGGUGGACGGCCAGACUGGGACUGAGCCACGGCCCAGACUCCUGCGGGAGGCAGCAGUGGGGAAUAUUGCACAAUGGGCGCAAGCCUGAUGCAGCGACGCCGCGUGAGGGAUGGAGGCCUUCGGGUUGUGAACCUCUUUCGCCAGUGAAGCAGGCCUGCUCCUGUGUGGGUGGGUUGACGGUAGCUGGAUAAGAAGCGCCGGCUAACUACGUG